CCUACGGGAGGCAGCAGUGAGGAAUAUUGGUCAAUGGGCGCGAGCCUGAACCAGCCAAGUAGCGUGAAGGAUGACUGCCCUACGGGUUGUAAGCUUCUUUUAUAAAGGAAUAGAGUACGGCACGUGACCCUUUUUGUCUGUACUUUAUCAAUCAGGCACGGCUAACUCCGUGCCAGCAGCCGCGGUAAUACGGAGGAUCCGAGCGUUAUCCGGAUUUAUUGGGUUUAAAGGGAGCGUAGACGGGUUGUUAAGUCAGGUGUGAAAGUUUGCGGCUCAACCGUAAAAGUGCAAUUGAUACUGGAAGGCUUGAGUACAGUUGAGGUAGGCGGAAUUCGUGGUGUAGCGGUGAAAUGCGUAGAUAUUAGGAAGAACUCCGAUUGCGAAGGCAGCCUACUAAACUGUGACUGACAUUGAGGCCCGAAAGUGUGGGUAUCAAACAGGAUUAGAUACCCUAGUAGUC
rnacentral:rRNA from 1 species